rnacentral:tRNA from 1 species
GGAUGUAUAGCUCAGGGUAGAAUGCGUGCUUAGCAUCCGUGAGAUCCUGGGUCCAAUCCCCAGUACCUCCA